UACGUAGGGUGCGAGCGUUAAUCGGAAUUACUGGGCGUAAAGCGUGCGCAGGCGGUUUUGUAAGACAGGUGUGAAAUCCCCGGGCUCAACCUGGGAAUUGCGCUUGAAACUAGCGAGCUUGAGUGUGGCAGAGGGGGGUGGAAUUCCACGUGUAGCAGUGAAAUGCGUAGAGAUGUGGAGGAACACCGAUGGCGAGGGCAGCCCCCUGGGUCAACACUGACGCUCAUGCACGAAAGCGUGGGGAGCAAACAGG
rnacentral:rRNA from 1 species